GGUUCUUUGGUCCAGUGGUUAGGACAAUUGCAACAUGAGCUAAGCGGUCCUCUGGAUGCGGUUCUGCCGCCUAGCGCGUAUAUUGGUUCUUCGAGCAGUUGGCCCGGGUUCGACCCCCGGAAGAUCCA